rnacentral:rRNA from 1 species
AUUUCGAAUUUAAAAGAGUUAAUAUUUUUAUUGUAAUAAAUAUUAUAAAUAUGAAAUGAGAUGUUAAUAUAUCUAAUUUUUAAAGAAAGUUGAAUUUAAUAAAAUUUUAAGGGAUGAGCUUUAAAUAGGAUUAGAAAUUUUGUUAUAAUUAAUUUAUUUAAAUAAAAAUAUUAAUUUUUUUUGUAAUAAUGAUAAAAUUAGUAUAAGGUUAAUUAAAAGAAUUCGGCAAAAUUUUUUCACCUGUUUAUUAAAAACAUGUCUUUUUGAUAAUAAUUUAAAGUCUAGCCUGCCCACUGAGGCCGCGGUAUUUUGACCGUGCAAAGGUAGCAUAAUCAUUAGUUUUUUAAUUGAAAGCUGGAAUGAAAGGUUGGAUGAAAAAAAAACUGUUUUUAUUUAAUAGAAUUUUAUUUUUUAGUUAAAAAGCUAAAAUAUAAUUAAAAGACGAGAAGACCCUAUAGAGUUUUAUUUUAGUUGGGGUGAUUAAAAAAUUAAAAAAACUUUUGAUUAAAAGAUUAAAUUACCUUAGGGAUAACAGCGUAAUUUUUUUAAGAGUUCAAAUCGAAAAAAAAGAUUGCGACCUCGAUGUUGGAUUAAAAUUUAAUUUGGUGUAGAAGCU